rnacentral:misc_RNA from 1 species
GCAAACUUGGUCAUUUAGAGGAAGUAAAAGUCGUAACAAGGUUUCCGUAGGUGAACCUGCGGAAGGAUCAUUACAGAAUAAAUGUGACGAGUUGUUGCUGGCCCAAUUCCCUUGGGCAUGUGCACACUUGUCAUUUUUAUCUUUCCACCAAGUGCACUUUGCAUAGGUCUGAAGCAUUUUGAUCAAAGGUGACUUUGAUUCUUGGAAACUGCUGUUGAAUAAACGGCUUUUUCUGACUUCAGCUCCUAUGAUUUAUACACAUACACCAAUGCAUGUUAAAGAACGUUAUACAAGGCUGUAUUGGCCUAUAUAUCAUAAUACAACUUUCAGCAACGGAUCUCUUGGCUCUCGCAUCGAUGAAGAACGCAGC